rnacentral:rRNA from 1 species
AUUGAACGCUGGCGGCAUGCUUUACACAUGCAAGUCGAACGGCAGCACGGACUUCGGUCUGGUGGCGAGUGGCGAACGGGUGAGUAAUACAUCGGAACGUGCCCAGUUGUGGGGGAUAACUACUCGAAAGAGUAGCUAAUACCGCAUGAGAACUGAGGUUGAAAGCAGGGGACCGUAAGACCUUGCGCAACUGGAGCGGCCGAUGGCAGAUUAGGUAGUUGGUGGGAUAAAAGCUUACCAAGCCGACGAUCUGUAGCUGGUCUGAGAGGACGACCAGCCACACUGGGACUGAGACACGGCCCAGACUCCUACGGGAGGCAGCAGUGGGGAAUUUUGGACAAUGGGCGAAAGCCUGAUUCAGCAAUGCCGCGUGCAGGAUGAAGGCCUUCGGGUUGUAAACUGCUUUUGUACGGAACGAAAAGCUUCGGGUUAAUACCCUGGAGUCAUGACGGUACCGUAAGAAUAAGCACCGGCUAACUACGUGCCAGCAGCCGCGGUAAGAC